rnacentral:rRNA from 1 species
AAGAAACUAACAAGGAUUCCCCUAGUAACUGCGAGUGAACCGGGAAAAGCUCAAAUUUUGAAUCUGGCGGUCCAAGGGCCGUCCGAGUUGUAAUCUAGAGAAGCGUCUUCCGCGCUGGACCGUGUAUAAGUUUCCUGGAAUGGAACGUCGUAGAGGGUGACAAUCCCGUCUUUGACACGGACUCCCAGUGCUAUGUGAUGCGCUCUCGACGAGUCGAGUUGUUUGGGAAUGCAGCUCAAAUAGGGUGGUAAAUUCCAUCUAAAGCUAAAUACAGGCGAGAGACCGAUAGCGAACAAGUACCGUGAGGGAAAGAUGAAAAGAACUUUGGAAAGAGAGUUAAACAGUACGUGAAAUUGCUGAAAGGGAAACGCUUGAUGUCAGUCGCAUCGUCCGGGGAUCAGCCUCGCUCUUUUGCUCGGCGUACUUCCUGGUCGAUGGGUCAGCAUCGGUUUCGACCGUCGGAAAAUGGCUCGAGGAACGUGGCACUCUUCGGGGUGUGUUAUAGCCUCGAGUCGAAUACGACGGUCGGGACCGAGGAACUCAGCACGACCUUCGGGUUCGGGGCUUCGGCUCACGUUCGCCGUGCUUAGGAUGCUGGCAUAAUGGCCUUAAGCGACCCGUCU